rnacentral:lncRNA from 1 species
UCUUUACAUAGCUAUAGUCCAGCUACACACAACUGACUAUCACAAAAAGAGAGACGUAGCCAACAUCUAUUUACUAUGCCUCUAUUUCUAAUUACAGGGAGAAUGCUGGAGUUGCAGGCUAAACUUAAUAGGACUCCUAAUAUGACAUGUGUAUGCAAUAUUUCUAAGUAAGUGCCCAUAUGAACUUGACACAUUCCCAAACAACCUUGAGUUCCUCUCUAACCAGAUGUUA